AAGGGACCACCGAAUCCCCAGGGCGCAAUAAAUGUAAAAAGGUGUGAUCCGGGGCAACCUGGCGCAACACCGCCCCGUCUCGUGACCUUUGUGUCUGAGGCGGAGGUUGAGCGUACAUGUUAGGACCCGAAAGAUGGUGAACUAUGCCUGAGUAGGUUGAAGCCAGAGGAAACUCUGGUGGAGGACCGUAGCGAUUCUGACGUGCAAAUCGAUCGUCGAACU
rnacentral:rRNA from 1 species